rnacentral:rRNA from 1 species
GUAGGUGGCAAGCGUUGUCCGGAAUUAUUGGGCGUAAAGCGCGCGCAGGUGGUUCUUUAAGUCUGAUGUGAAAGCCCACGGCUCAACCGUGGAGGGUCAUUGGAAACUGGAGAACUUGAGUACAGAAGAGGAAAGCGGAAUUCCACGUGUAGCGGUGAAAUGCGUAGAGAUGUGGAGGAACACCAGUGGCGAAGGCGGCUUUCUGGUCUGUAACUGACGCUGAGGCGCGAAAGCGUGGGGAGCAAACAGGAUUAGAUACCCUGGUAGUCCACGCCGUAAACGAUGAGUGCUAAGUGUUAGGGGGGUUUUCCGCCCCCCUUAGUGCUGCAGCUAACGCAUUAAGCACUCCGCCUGGGAGUACGGCCGCAAGGCUG